UUGCAGCUAACUAAGCCGACCAGCUUUUGCCUUUAUCAGAAGCUGGUGUGCAAUGGCUGCAUACAGUAAUUCUCUGGUUGUGUAUGUGCUUUGUUUCACCCCAUACAAAGUGCUCUAAGGGACCAUUGAGACAUUU